GUAUUUUAACAAUUCGGUGAAUAGUUAAACGCAUUUCAUUAUUAUACACGCUUGAAAAUUAACACUGCGAUGACAAGGUUUAAAAGUUUUUACAUAGCGCUGAAAAAUACUAAUUUUCUCAAAAAUUAAUAUACAUAGUCAAUCAACUCAACAAUUUUAAUAUACUAUUUUUGCAUAUUACAAUAAAUAUGAAGAAAAUAAUAAAAGAAAAAUUGUCACCGUUUAUGAUUUACACAUUGACUGUGUUGAUUUUUUUCAACGUGUUCUUUGCACUAAGCUGACAGAAAUAGAAAAAUAAAACCCGUCACGAUUUUGCCAGUUGUAUUCUGUUUUUAUUUUAAAAAGAGAACUCACUCGGAUCUUGUGCCGGAUUUGGAACUGCAGAUUUGCGAGUCGGCUGCUUCUGCGAGAUCCUCCGAAAAAAAAUUCGCGUGCCACACAAUACCAAGAACAGCAACGCAAAAAGCCGGCAGCCAAUACGAGAAAGGAAGAUGAGGUAAUCUGGAUCGAGGAUGGAAGCAUGUAACUCGUUCGCUUUCGGACUACUAGCAGCAAUAUUGAUCUGGAAGAAUGGAUCCCAGAGGUCCCGGAGCUACAACUGCUUCUCUCUUUACAAAGAUUUUCGAGUCGGCUGCUUCUGCGAGAUCCUCCGAAAAUAUUGCCGUCUUUGCCACACAGCACCAAGGAACAGCAACGCAAAACGCCGGCAGCCAAUACGAGAAAGGAAGAUGAGGUCAUCUGGAUCAAGGAUGGAAACAUGGAACUAGCUUUUCGGACUACUAGCAAUCCCAGAGGUCACGGAGCUGAAAGUUUGAAACCCUACAAUAGACAUACGUGAAAAAGUGUAUAGAAGAGUGUAGCGAAAAAGACGAGGCUUAACUGAUCAUUAAUAAUACUAAAUAAUGAAAAUUGAACAACUUUUUUUUUUUCAAAUGUUAUCUCAUUUCAAACUAAAACAAUAUUUGUAGUUUAUUUGUGCAUUUCAUUGACUGAGUUACAAAUGUUUUAAUAAAAGUGAGUUUUUCAACAUGUA
rnacentral:lncRNA from 1 species